AUUGAACGCUGGCGGCAUGCCUUACACAUGCAAGUCGAACGGUAACAGGUUAAGCUGACGAGUGGCGAACGGGUGAGUAAUGUAUCGGAACGUGCCCAGUCGUGGGGGAUAACUGCUCGAAAGAGCAGCUAAUACCGCAUACGACCUGAGGGUGAAAGCGGGGGAUCGCAAGACCUCGCGCGAUUGGAGCGGCCGAUAUCAGAUUAGGUAGUUGGUGAGGUAAAGGCUCACCAAGCCGACGAUCUGUAGCUGGUCUGAGAGGACGACCAGCCACACUGGGACUGAGACACGGCCCAGACUCCUACGGGAGGCAGCAGUGGGGAAUUUUGGACAAUGGGCGCAAGCCUGAUCCAGCCAUGCCGCGUGCGGGAAGAAGGCCUUCGGGUUGUAAACCGCUUUUGUCGGGGAAGAAAAGGUUCUGGCUAAUACCUGGGACUCAUGACGGUACCUGAAGAAUAAGCGCCGGCUAACUACGUG
rnacentral:rRNA from 1 species